UGGCGGACGGGUGAGUAACGCGUGGGCAACCUGGCCUGUACAGGGGGAUAACACUUAGAAAUAGGUGCUAAUACCGCAUAAGCGCACAGUAUCGCAUGAUACAGUGUGAAAAACUCCGGUGGUACAGGAUGGACCCGCGUCUGAUUAGCUGGUUGGCGGGGUAACGGCCCACCAAGGCGACGAUCAGUAGCCGGCCUGAGAGGGUGAACGGCCACAUUGGGACUGAGACACGGCCCAAACUCCUACGGAAGGCAGCAG
rnacentral:rRNA from 1 species